rnacentral:rRNA from 1 species
AUGGAUCCAGCAGAUCAUAUUGCUGUUCGUUUUCAUUUCAAUGGUGAAUUUAUCAAUGACGGGAAGACAAUCCAGUAUGUGGGGGGCAAAGAAGCAAUGUCCUUUUUAGAUCGAGCAAGCUUGAGCUUACAGAGAAUUCAACAAUGUUUGAGUGAGCAUUAUGUCACAGUGGACGGACAACAAUUGCACUGGCUCUUCCCUGGGAAGGAUUUCUUUGAUGGGUUGUUGAUGUUGUCUGAGGACAAGUCUGUCAAAACACUGUCAGCAUGUACAACAGAUGCAGGUGUGGCUGAUGUGUAUCUGGAGGAUCCGUCCGUGCAAGAUGAAGAAGUUAGUGAGGAAGAAUAUUGGGCUGAAGAGGAGUAUGUAGCUACUGAUGAUGAGAAGAAGUCUGCAAAGGAAAAGCCAAUUGAUGUAGAAAGCAGCUCCGAUGAUAGUGACUUUGUGCCACCAGAUUGUUCAUCGGAUGACGAUGAGGCAGAUGCUAUUAGGCAAGAUUACAAGAAAUUCAAAAAGAGCAAGAAGAUGGCAGCUGGAAAACUUGCACUUGAGUAUGAGUUUGAAGCAUUGAAUGUAGUUAAACCUGAAGGCAAUUAUGAAGAUGACUCAAGUGCCGAAGAGGAUGAAUCUUAUGACGAGGACAGUGAUGGUGAACUUAUCAAGCGCGAGCCUGAAUAUGCUAGGUUUAAUAGUAAAGCAGAAGUGAUCAAGUUUAGCUUGGGUAUGACAUUUAGUGGGAAGAAAGAGUUCAAAGAUGCAAUCAUUCGUUAUGCACUGAAGGAAAGAAAAGAAAUCAAGUUAUUAAAAGAUGAGGGAGUCAGAGUAAGGGCAAACUGCACAUGGCCUCAUUGUCCUUGGGUGUGUUUGUUGAGGAAAACAUCAAAGUUUGAAAGUCAGCAGAUUACUUCAUUUACUGGGGAACACACUUGUCCAAAAAGGAAAGAUAGUGCACUAGUCACAAGUAGACAGAUUGCAGAAAAGUUUGAGAGUUUGAUAAUGUCUAGUCCAGAAUGGUCAAUCCAGCAAUUAAAGUCAACCGUGAAGGAAAAAAUGUUUGCAAAUGUGUCAAUAUCCAAAAUCAAGAGAGCAAAAGCACUUGUCAUUGGAAAAAUGCUUGCGGCUAAAGAGGGAGAGUACAGCCAAGUGUUUGAUUACCAACUUGAGUCCUAUGUGUCAGACCUAUUUGUGAUACCUUUGUGUGUAUCAGACCUAUCUAUAUGUAUGUGA